GAUGAACGCUGGCGGCGUGCCUAAUACAUGCAAGUCGAGCGAACGGACGAGAAGCUUGCUUCUCUGAUGUUAGCGGCGGACGGGUGAGUAACACGUGGAUAACCUACCUAUAAGACUGGGAUAACUUCGGGAAACCGGAGCUAAUACCGGAUAAUAUUUUGAACCGCAUGGUUCAAAAGUGAAAGACGGUCUUGCUGUCACUUAUAGAUGGAUCCGCGCUGCAUUAGCUAGUUGGUAAGGUAAAGGCUUACCAAGGCAACGAUGCAUAGCCGGCCUGAGAGGGUGAUCGGCCACACUGGAACUGAGCCACGGCCCAGACUCCUACGGGAGGCAGCAGUAGGGAAUCUUCCGCAAUGGGCGAAAGCCUGACGGAGCAACGCCGCGUGAGUGAUGAAGGUCUUCGGAUCGUAAAACUCUGUUAUUAGGGAAGAACAUAUGUGUAAGUAACUGUGCACAUCUUGACGGUACCUAAUCAGAAAGCCACGGCUAACUACGUG
rnacentral:rRNA from 1 species